GACGAACGCUGGCGGCGUGCUUAACACAUGCAAGUCGAACGGAAAGGCCCUGCUUGCAGGGUACUCGAGUGGCGAACGGGUGAGUAACACGUGGGUGAUCUGCCCUGCACUUCGGGAUAAGCCUGGGAAACUGGGUCUAAUACCGGAUAGGAGCCAUUUUGAGUGUGAUGGUUGGAAAGUUUUUUCGGUGUAGGAUGGGCUCGCGGCCUAUCAGCUUGUUGGUGGGGUAAUGGCCUACCAAGGCGGCGACGGGUAGCCGGCCUGAGAGGGUGGACGGCCACAUUGGGACUGAGAUACGGCCCAGACUCCUACGGGAGGCAGCAGUGGGGAAUAUUGCACAAUGGGCGCCAGCCUGAUGCAGCGAGGCCGCGUGGGGGAUGACGGCCUUCGGGUUGUAAACUCCUUUCGCUAGGGACGAAGCUUUUUGUGACGGUACCUAGAUAAGAAGCACCGGCUAACUACGUG
rnacentral:rRNA from 1 species